rnacentral:rRNA from 2 species
GAGCUCAAAUUUAUAAUCUGGCACCUUCGGUGUCCGAGUUGUAAUCUCUAGAAGUGUUUUCCGCGUUGGACCGCACACAAGUCUGUUGGAAUACAGCGGCAUAGUGGUGAAACCCCCGUAUAUGGUGCGGACGCCCAGCGCUUUGUGAUACACUUUCAAUGAGUCGAGUUGUUUGGGAAUGCAGCUCAAAUUGGGUGGUAAAUUCCAUCUAAAGCUAAAUAUUGGCGAGAGACCGAUAGCGAACAAGUACCGUGAGGGAAAGAUGAAAAGCACUUUGGAAAGAGAGUUAACAGUACGUGAAAUUGUUGGAAGGGAAACGCUUGAAGUCAGACUUGCUUGCCGGAGCUUGCUUCGGUUUGCAGGCCAGCAUCAGUUUUCCGGGGUGGAUAAUGACGGUUUGAAGGUAGCAGUCUCGGCUGUGUUAUAGCUUUCCGUUGGAUACGCCCUGGGGGACUGAGGAACGCAGCGUGCUUUUUGCGAAAGACUCGUCUUUUUCACGCUUAGGAUGCUGGUGGAAUGGCUUUAAACGACCCGUCUU